rnacentral:rRNA from 1 species
CCACACCGUAAACGAUGGAUACUAGGUGUAGGGGAUGAAUAAUCUUCUGUGCCGUCGCAAACGCAGUAAGUAUCCCACCUGGGGAGUACGGCCGCAAGGUUGAAACUCAAAGGAAUUGACGGGGGCCCGCACAAGCAGUGGAGUAUGUGGUUUAAUUCGACGCAACGCGAAGAACCUUACCAGGGCUUGACAUAUAUAUGAAAGUCUAAGAGAUUAGACCCCUCUUCGGAGCAUAUAUACAGGUGGUGCAUGGUUGU